rnacentral:rRNA from 1 species
CCCAAGAGAUCGGGAUAACACCUGGAAACAGAUGCUAAUACCGGAUAACAACAGAUGAUGCCUAUCAACUGUUUAAAAGAUGGCUCUGCUAUCACUCUUGGAUGGACCUGCGGUGCAUUAGCUAGUUGGUAGGGUAACGGCCUACCAAGGCGAUGAUGCAUAGCCGAGUUGAGAGACUGAUCGGCCACAUUGGGACUGAGACACGGCCCAAACUCCUACGGGAGGCAGCAGCC